rnacentral:rRNA from 1 species
AUUGAACGCUGGCGGCAUGCCUUACACAUGCAAGUCGAACGGCAGCACGGGAGCAAUCCUGGUGGCGAGUGGCGAACGGGUGAGUAAUGUAUCGGAACGUACCUUUCAGUGGGGGAUAACGUAGCGAAAGUUACGCUAAUACCGCAUAUUCUGUGAGCAGGAAAGCAGGGGAUCGCAAGACCUUGCGCUGAUUGAGCGGCCGAUAUCAGAUUAGCUAGUUGGUGAGGUAAAGGCUCACCAAGGCGACGAUCUGUAGCGGGUCUGAGAGGAUGAUCCGCCACACUGGAACUGAGACACGGUCCAGACUCCUACGGGAGGCAGCAGUGGGGAAUUUUGGACAAUGGGCGCAAGCCUGAUCCAGCCAUGCCGCGUGAGUGAUGAAGGCCUUAGGGUUGUAAAGCUCUUUUGCCGGGGACGAUAAUGACGGUACCCGGAGAAUAAGUCCCGGCUAACUUCGUGCCAGCAGCCGCGGU